CUCUUCCUAUAUGCGUAUAUCACUUACAUAUUUAAUCAUGUACAUAUAGAUAUUUUCAAAGCAUCAAAUUGUCAAAAUGAUUUAUAUAUUGGAUAAAAGGUAUCUUGAAAGAAGAUAGAAGUAGGAAUGCCAGCGAUGGAUGUUUAAAUAGGUAAGUGAUUUAUCAAGGGUUUCUCAGCCAAGUACAACUCAACGAUUAAUAUAUCAUUCUAUAGGAUAUGUUACGGUUACGCGUGGUUGUACCAAUGGAUAAUAUAUGCAGCAUCUAUGAAUAUGAAAGUUACAGAGUUACUAAGAAAACAUACUAAGCUUCAAGUAGUUCUCCAGUUGUGUCUUUUAUAUGGAACUAUAUAAUUUGUGAAACUCUACGUACCAGGCUGAAACAGGCCAUUGCAAAAAAUUAUGAAUAACGAUAAUGAACUUAUUUUCUAACUCUUGUUUUGUAAUAAAGAGACACGGACUAACCGUUCAAAGGACUACUAUCCUGAUCCUGUAAGGACGAUAUGUCACGUGGUUUUGCAAUAGAGGGGAUACUAUUACACGCUUACCCCAAAAUCUGCUCGCCUAAUACAAAACUGGUCGUCUGCUUGAAUUUUCGAUUGACGAGUAUUCGACAGCCGAUCAACAGCAACUAAUAUAUUCUUCAAAAAUAAUUAUAUGACAGGGAGUGAUACUGGUGUACGUGACUCAGCUACGCAUGUCAAGCGGAUCGAGCGAACCAGUUGCUUUUCCACAAUAUCCAGGCAACAGGCCGGAGGCUACAGCUUCCAGCAUCCACCUCUGGAUCAACGCGGGCAUAUGGAGUAAACAAGCGUGACAUGGUAUACAUUCCUGGUAGCAUCGAAACACAAUGAGAUGUCGUAAACGCAAGAAGAUGACAGAAAAUCGAUAGAACGCCUUGCAGAUCUGAACCGACUUGCUCCUUACGAUUCUUCGCUGCUUUCUUUCGUGCUCGAGUAAACACAGUAACGUGAUGCUGACCUGAUAUUUUUCAGACGUUGCGUGUCUUACUGCUCUCUUCCUUCGUACUCGAUACUAUGCGUCAAAAAAAUAUCGAGUCGCAAUAAUAUGUAUUGGUGAAUCGGAAACUAUUACUACCCUCGAUACUAUCCUGUUACGGUGACACGUCAUAGUCGUCAUGUCUCGACAAUUUGAUGUGAAAUCGAUAAAUUGCUCGAGGCCUGUUUCCUUUACCAAUACACAUUGCACACAUGUCAUUUUUCCGUAAUUCCGUGCGAGAAUAUAUUAUUGCGUUUAUCAGACAGGUGGAUAAAACCC